UGGUUUUAACUUCCUUAGGUGUUUCUCUUUGUUUUCUUAAAUGCCAGUCUAUCACACCUGCUCAUCCCACAGCUGGACAACUCAUCCAGAAGGAUGCUGUGAGGAACAGUAUUGUUGAGGAAUAGAUUCAGUGCAGAUAGCCCUGUGUCCAGCUGCACUGGACCUGCAGGCUGAGCUCUGGGUGACAGGAACUGCAGACAGGAGGCCCCACAAUACUGACCUUUCCUUAAGAAAGGGCAUAGGGACCUGCAGCCAGGGACACUCAGAGACACAACAGGAGCUAAGGACCCCAGGCUCUUGCAAGCUUAUACUCAGGAUGAUAUAUGGUGACCUUCUCCAACUGCCAGAAAUCCUCAUGCACGUGCUGACCUGUAACUAGUCAUUUAUUCCAGGGAAAGUGUGCAAUAGUUUGACUCUCCACUUUAUCCUGGCUGACCUACAAAUUUUUUACUAAUGUUCCUACUCACAGCAAGCUGGACUUCUCACCAUAUGACAGUGACCUCAGAAGCCAACCACAUACUCUGUUAGAUAAACAAUAUGUUUUCAAGAUAAACAUAAUGGUGGAUCAAAGCAUGAGCUUUUCCAAAAAGGGGCAUGUUAGCUUUAUUAUUUGUUAUGCAAUCAUCCUCAGUUUGUUGCAUCGCUGAUUUUCUUUCCCUUGCGUAUUAGUUUUCAUCUGCAUUUUACAUAUCCAUGAAAAACCACCAUAUACUCACUCCAGCAGAGAUUAAAUGUCUAAAAGAUGGAUUUAAGUUCAUGAUCUCUCCUAUUUCUAUGUAAUUACAUUGCCUUCCAUGUUGCAGUACAGGUCUCAAAAUAACUCCUCAGCUCCCCGCAAUCAAAACUCUCAAGCUAGUUCAAGUUCCAGGAAUUCAGUCUACAGAGAGCUCAAUCUAAACAGACUCUGGCCCGAUGAAAAUCAGGCACUCUUCCAAAAGGUGAUAAUGGAUAGACACCAGAUGGCCGAUGGUGAGGAAAACAAAUCUCCUGGUAUGUGAAAAAAAAAUAAAAAGGAGAAAACAACAAUUAAAAAACAAAAUGAAAAGUUGAUUAAAAGAUUGGCAUCAAAGGGAAAUGCAGCACAAUGUAAGGUGAAGGUGCUUCCUGGCAGAUGGAACAAGCCGGAAACAGAGAUGAAGGACAACAGGACACAGGAAUUCUAGAGGACAGGGUCGGGUAUCAGUGGCAGUGUGCAGCCCAACACACAGCUGAGAAGAGAGGCAGAAAAUAUCCUGGUGGUCCUGCCCUGACAGCAGAGGCUCCAGUCCCUGGAAUGUUCCAGAGGGAGCAGCCAGGUUAGAGCUUGGCAGCCUGGCCAAGCUUGACCCGUGGGCACAUUGUGGGUUGUCCAGGGAGGAGUGGGAGCAGGUGUAAAGCCAGCCCUGAGCAGAGAAGGGCCUUUCCCAGGGGCAAAAGGGCACUGCAGGUGUCUGGACAGGGAGCCAGAUUGGAGCAAGCCAUCCUUCCCUCUUCCCCCACAGGCAGGUGCAGCACCCGCUGGAAAGCGUUGCCACGCCUGCAUUAUCCACUCCCUGCACGGCUGUGAUUUUUAAAAGUUUGCUGUUAUGCAUCUUUUUAAUUGCAUGUUUUCAGUUUAAAACAUAACUUUGGAGUUUAAAAGGCUCCAUUGGUUUUUGUUCGCUUUCAGAAAAAUGUGGCAUGAGCUGCCUCAGAGCUUUACUAGACAGGGAAUUCAUCAGGGAAGAGAAGUGGCAUCUCUUGGAGACAACACAAUAACUCGAUUGCAAUAAGCAAGAUUGUUGGAAAUAUUACCCUUAGAUUCACUCUAAAAUACUUUGCCAAUAUCAUUCAGAAAAAAAGUGUAACACACAUUGGCAGAGCUCACUCCCAGUGAACUACAGGUAAAUUUAUUAGAUUCAGCUGUAUAUUUUACACAUAUUUAUUUUGAAAAGGCAAAUAAUGUCCACUCCCUCUUUAAAAGUUCAAGAAAAUAAAUGGAGUAUCUGCAGAGCUGGGAUAAAUUAUUAUCCCCGAAAAUAACUGACUUUACCAUGCUUAGAAACUCUGAAGUAGAUAUACAAUUGCAGAUAUCUGUGCUGAUUUGAAAAUCAAAUUCUGCAAAUAAAUAGAAGACCGAGAAAGGCCACAGAUAGCACAAGCCAUUGCAUAUUUCAGAGGAUCUUCCUACUUUCAUUAAGAUUAAAUAAAUUUAAUAGAGAUAGUGGAUUUUUAAAAGAAAAGGCAAAUUUGUCCAAUAUUUCUUCUGCUGUUAGAAGUUCUAAAACUUUGAGCUCAGAAGCUGUACAUUCCAUGCACCUUGGCUACCACCUUAAACAAAGAAGACUGUAAGUCUUCAUGCUUCAAACUACCCUAAAAUACAUAUGUGUAAAGGUCUGUUCAUUUAAAUCGGUCAGUUUAAAAUCCAAGUACGGUUAGACUUCAGAAUUGAAAGGUGCCAAAGUACGAAAUUUCCACAGCUGUAAACAGUAAAUACCUGAAGUGGGGAGAGUAAGAAUGCAUGAAACUUCUAGUUGAGUGUGUUUUGCAUUAAUGUACACAAAUCAAAUGUUUUGUGAACGAUUUAAGUAAGUGGAUGAAACAUCAGGAAUGAAGCAAUAUAAUCCAGUAAAGUAAAGCAUGCAUACCCUGAGGCAGAAGUGGUUUUAGUUUUCUUGUCAUAGCACAGCAUUUUGUUGUGUGUUUGUAAUGAGGUAAGGGACACUAGAAACAAGGAGCUGAGCAAAAUUCUACAGUCUUUGUAGAUAUUUCUGUUGCUAAAAAACAGGUCUCUUUUUAGAGUCAAAAUCCAUACACUUUGAAAAAGUUGUACUUUUACUCACAUAGGUUUUCACUUUUCUCUCUGUUCUAACCAGCAAAGUAUUUCCCUGCCUUUUCCUGUAUGCAAAUAUAAUGCAGAUUGCAGACAAUGUAUACUUGUAGCACUGCUUGUUUAUUUUUUACUGCCACACUCAAGAAUCCAUUUUCAUUUGAAACCACAUUUUUCGUCAUUCUUUUUUUUCCUUCACUCUGAGCUAAGGAAUUUAGAAAUGAGGCUGCAGUGUUCCCAGGGCUGGGAGUUAUCCACAGUUUCAGUCUUGUCCUUCCCAAACAAGGAGUCCAGGGAGAAUCCAAACACCCGAGAUUUUUUUAACCCAUUGCAAGAUCUUGCUUCAUACUUAAACAGGGACAAAAAUGCCUCUCUAGACACCCUGCCAUCCACUGACUGAGCUUUGCAGAGUUCAGACAUUUGCUAUAGUGUUAUCUUCAGAAAAGCUCCUUUUAAUUCAUUUUUUUGUUCCUAUCUUUGCCCUUUGGGUUAUAUAUCCAUGUAUUCACUCUUCUCACAAAUCAUCUCUGUGUUUCAUUUCAGGUUCAUACGUUGUUGAUUACCUAAUUACCAGUAGUAAAAUAAACAGCUUGAACUAUGUUUUUUUGAGGGAA